rnacentral:rRNA from 1 species
GUGUCUGGUGGGUAGUUUGACUGGGGCGGUCUCCUCCUAAAGAGUAACGGAGGAGCACGAAGGUUGGCUAAUCCUGGUCGGACAUCAGGAGGUUAGUGCAAUGGCAUAAGCCAGCUUGACUGCGAGCGUGACGGCGCGAGCAGGUGCGAAAGCAGGUCAUAGUGAUCCGGUGGUUCUGAAUGGAAGGGCCAUCGCUCAACGGAUAAAAGGUACUCCGGGGAUAACAGGCUGAUACCGCCCAAGAGUUCAUAUCGACGGCGGUGUUUGGCACCUCGAUGUCGGCUCAUCACAUCCUGGGGCUGAAGUAGGUCCCAAGGGUAUGGCUGUUCGCCAUUUAAAGUGGUACGCGAGCUGGGUUUAGAACGUCGUGAGACAGUUCGGUCCCUAUCUGCCGUGGGCGCUGGAGAACUGAGGGGGGCUGCUCCUAGUACGAGAGGACCGGAGUGGACGCAUCACUGGUGUUCGGGUUGUCAUGCCAAUGGCACUGCCCGGUAGCUAAAUGCGGAAGAGAUAAGUGCUGAAAGCAUCUAAGCACGAAACUUGCCCCGAGAUGAGUUCUCCCUGACCCUUUAAGGGUCCUGAAGGAACGUUGAAGACGACGACGUUGAUAGGCCGGGUGUGUAAGCGCAGCGAUGCGUUGAGCUAACCGGUACUAAUGAACCGUGAGGCUUAACC